GCUCUCCAGCAGCAGGGUUCGAGACCCCUGGUAUAGACUCUGCACUAUUGUACAGUAAACUUUCACAACAUUCUUGAAUAAAUUAUUUAUUCGUUGCAUGCUGGUCUGUUAUUGUAAGGACAUCGGCUUUACAUUUUCACUAGCCCCUAAACAAGACACUGAACCAAACAAACAAACUUUUAUUAGUUGCUUUACAUGUCUGUUAGAUGGCCUGUUGGAUGGUCUAUGGCAGGGUUCUCCAACCCAUGCUGCUGGAGAGAUACCAUCCUACAGAUUUCAGCUCCAACCCCAAUCAGGCACACUUGAACCAGGUAAUAAAGGUGUUCAGGGCUACUUGUGAAAUGCAUGCAGGCGUAUUGGAGAAAGGUUGGAAGUCAAGUCUGCAGAAAGAUAGCUUUCCAGGAGCAGCGUUGGAGAUCCCUGGUUUAUGGCCAAUGAAGGACUAAAAUCCCAGCAUUCUGAUUUUCAACUGCAGUGGUGCACCAGGAGUGGUACCCGGUGGGGUCUCCUGCUAUAGCCCUUUGGCUUCAAGGUUUGAUAUGUUACGCAUUCAGAGAUGCUCUUCUGCAUACACCGGUUGUAACAAGUGGCUGUUAGAGUUACUGUUGCCUUUCUGUCAGUUCAGUAACCAUUUUCCUCUGACCUCUGCCAUCAACAAGGUACUUUCGCCCACAGAACUGCCACUCACUUGAUAUUUUCUCAUUUUCAGA